ACCCUAGAUCACUAAACAUUAGUCUCACAGGCUACACGACUCUGACGCAUUCGCUGUUUAUGUAUGUUCCCGUUACCGCACCCCCCUCAGCCGCUCAGUACCUUCCUAAUUCGGCCAAUCAGUGACCCGUGAACUCGCAUUGCGUACGCACGCUUCCUACUUCCGGAGAUAUUACGCAAUAGUAGUCUCUCAGGCUAAUGUUUAGUAAUUGCGCCACAAAAGUGAAGAAAGAUGGAUUUGAUACGAGAUCAAGAUAAAAUAUUGCAGAUUUUGAACGAGUCAGAUAAUGACGAUGACGAUUCACCAUUUUUUGGACCAUCUGGUGUGCCUUCGGACUCCGAACCUGAUGACAACUUAGAGGAGGACUUAGUCGAGGAUACCGACGAAAUUGAAGAUGAUUCGUCGAGUUCUUCUGAUGAAGAUCUAAAUGUUUCCCGGAGAAGCCGUAACAGAAACAGAAUCCUAGAUUCUGAUGAUGAUUCUUUGGAGUGUUUGCAGCCUUGUCCACCCAUAGCUUCUCACCAGGAUCUGGUAAUACAACCUGAGAGACCAUA